rnacentral:lncRNA from 1 species
UUAGAAAUCCUCUAUUUCUUCUCCUCUACCUGCUGCAUAUGAACUGUCAUCCUAGAAAAGUACAACUCCUUGUUCAGCAUAGCUCCCUGGUACUCAAGCACAAGAUCAUCUGAAAGGCCGAAAGCAAACUUUCUCCUUCUGGCCCUCAUACUGCUUGUCAUCUCAGGAGCAUAAUGGGACAACUGAUUAAACUUUAGAGUAUACUCCUGAACACUCAUCUUACCCUGCUUAAGGUUCAUGAACUCCUUCGCCUUUUCCUCCCACAAUUCUAAAUGAAAAAACCAGUCAAGGAAAGCAUCUACAAACUUAUUCCAUACCG